GACGAACGCUGGCGGCGUGCUUAACACAUGCAAGUCGAACGGAAAGGCCCUGCUUUUGUGGGGUGCUCGAGUGGCGAACGGGUGAGUAACACGUGAGUAACCUGCCCUUGACUUUGGGAUAACUUCAGGAAACUGGGGCUAAUACCGGAUAGGAGCUCCUGCUGCAUGGUGGGGGUUGGAAAGUUUCGGCGGUUGGGGAUGGACUCGCGGCUUAUCAGCUUGUUGGUGGGGUAGUGGCUUACCAAGGCUUUGGCGGGUAGCCGGCCUGAGAGGGUGACCGGCCACAUUGGGACUGAGAUACGGCCCGGACUCCUACGGGAGGCAGCAGUGGGGAAUAUUGCACAAUGGGCGGAAGCCUGAUGCAGCAACGCCGCGUGCGGGAUGACGGCCUUCGGGUUGUAAACCGCUUUCGCCUGUGACGAAGCGUGAGUGACGGUAAUGGGUAAAGAAGCACCGGCUAACUACGUG
rnacentral:rRNA from 1 species